CGAGAGGACAGGUUACCUCCAGCAGCACCUCGCUUCCUUUCAUUCAAGUAGAGCUCAACCACCUUCAGGCAGAUGUCAUCGCUCACUAGAUGGUGAAGCUUCCAUUAAAAAAGGGGGAAUUCGGUCAGCAAGUCUGGACCAAGACUAAACAAUAUGUUAUGAAAGAAGCACAAAACCCAACACAGCAUCACACCUCAGACAAAACAUCACAGUUUGAACUCCAGAGACUUUACACCUUUCACUCUUUUUCAUUACUUUGCAACAAAAGGAACAGAGUGAGGGGCUGAGGUGCCUUAACUGUAACAGAACUACAGUUACAAGACAGAUUCGAGUAAAAAGGACUUUACUUUUUUGCCUUAGAUGCAUUUUGGGAAUGGCAGGAUUUUGAGAAGACUGGAACUCAAAACUUGUUGGAAAAGGCCAGGAAGGGUAAAUCCCCAUAGGUGAUCCCUGUAUUGCUGCUGAACUCUCUCACAGAACUUCUCCUUGAGUGUUUCCCCUCUAUACUUAUCUAUGAACCUGCUGUAAGUUUAGUGCACCCUUGCAUUACAGGGUACUGUGAGAAACCUGUCUGUCUGCAGAAGAGGGAUGUGUGGCCCCCCAGAUGCACAGCACUGCACACAGUUAGUUACCUGGCGGACAAUAUUCUGCACCAGCUUGUCCAUAGUAAAGCCAAUGUAGGCGUGGAUAGUGAACAUCUCCCUCAGGGUGUCCUCGUACUGUGUUGGGUCAAUGUUCCCAUCCAGCAGACUCCUCACCAUAUCCAGGAACGCGGGGUAGUACUCCUCCAGUUCCACCUCACCUAGGCAGGGGAAAAGUGCCAUCAUUCAAUGCAUGCAAGAGGCAGAGUGAAGUCAAGAGAUGCAAGGGACAGCACUGCUUGAGAACCAUGACGUUCAAUGUUCAGACCACACUUACAGGAAGACAGUUUUCCCUACAGAGUGCUGACAGCCUGUAACAGUCUUACCUCGUGUGCUUCCACGACUGCCUUGUGAAGUUAACUGCUUUGUUGUGGAGCCAUUUACAUUGUAAAUUGAGGUAACAGAUUCAUACAAUGAGACACUGGAGAACAUCUCCCACAGUGGGCUUGUGUGAAGUCUCUAUGCACUAUACAUGAGCCCUCAGAAGAUCAAUUACAAAUUUAGUUACCCUGUCAAAACAGCUGGAUCCAGAGAUCACAGCCCCCACUCCUUACAGACUUGCCUGCUGGUCUCGGUUCCUCAGGUAUCUCUAAUCAAGUACUAACAACCAGAGCAUUAGGAAUGGACUAUGGCCUGCAUUGUUCUUACUUGGUUGCUUCAGCCUUAGUUCCAUGGCUGGAUCGUUGGUUUUUUCCUUUCUUCCCUCACAGAGGAGUUUCUCUCUCUCUUUCUCAGUCCGAUAUUCCAGAAGCUGCUUCUGAGCUUGACGAUAAAUCUUUAGGAGCCUCGAGCACAGAGUCUGGUGAAGGCGGAGGAAGAAAUACCAGUUAUUAUUGACAAAGAACAGGCUGUAAACAUCAUCCAGAGUGUUGUGGGGCUCUGCAGCUGUAACAUCACAGAAGGUGGCUUUUGCCUCCAAAGGACUGCUUGGAGGCCCAGGCACAUGUUUCUUGCGUAGCUCAGGAGUAUCUGGGUUCUGCCCCUGAUGGUUUUCUCUGUCCUCAUCUGUUGAUUCUUCAGAAAUAUUGUGCUCAGGGGGCUGAGAGAAAAAACAGCUCAGGUAUGAAGUGAUGCACUAUCUGCCGGAUGGUGGCUUGAUCCUCCUUUUGGAUAGUAGGCUGCCUUUUGACAUAAUAGCUGAUAAGAGACGCUGCAUCUUCCAAAAUCUGCUUAUCCUCAUAGAUAAAGAUAAGAUGAGGCUCAUUUGUGGACGAACUUCUCCCCUCUGAAUGCUGCUCCUGAUGCUGCAAUCAAGAGACAAAUAGAUAAAGAUCCUUCCAAUCCAUGCUCAAGAGCCAUUCCUGCCAGAAGAAAUAAGGCAGUAUUAAUGCUCUGCUUGGGACAGUCAUUUCUGACUGAGAACUCUUCAGAGCACUACCACUUCAACAAUGUCCUAGGUGCUACAUAAACAUCUAGAUACUACUAUACACGAAGGACAUCCCGGGUGGAUUAGUCACUAAUACACGCACCUCAUCAUAGACACUCUCAAUUUCAUUCAGCAAGCUCUUGGAGCGCAAAGCUUUGGUGUCAUUCUGUUUGAAGUUGACUGCCUGGUGGUCAAGGGAUUUCAGGUAGGCUUUCUCAUACUGCUCCCUCCAAAUCUUGUUGAAGCCCUGCUGGGCCUCCCUCCAUUCCUCCUCCUUUGCUUUCAAUCUGCACAAAUGUAUUAAUGGACUUCAGUUCAAAGAGACAAAGCACAAUAAGACACACACACAAAGUAUUAUAGCCGACUGUGAUGCACUAAAAACUUGUCAGUAUUCCUGGAAGCAAUAAGGAAAGAAACAAGUAAAAGCACCAGCACUGAGGAUGAGCUGUCCUUUGGAAAAACAUCUACAGAAAACAGUUACCUUAAAAAUCCUCUAUCAGUUUCUUAAAAGAACCCAGAUGAACACAGGAGAAUAGGAAUUACCUCUUAAGAACAACAGGAACGGCAGUAACUGGGUUUUUCUUAAGACUCUCAAUGAUCUCUGGUGCUUUAUCACCAUAGAUGCGAUAGAUGGCCCUGCGCUGGAUCACUUCUGAUGUCCCUCCCAAGCAAUCAUCCAGUCGAAAUUUCUCCUGAUCCUCUUGAGUCAGUCGUGACAGUUUCUUCUGCACACUCUCCAGCACACGUAUUGUGGCUAAGUUGGUCUCUAAGACAACAUCCAACUGUUAAAGAGUUCACAGAAGACACACUGUAAGAACAGGCAUAGCAGGAAAAUGGCAUCACAAAGUAGAGCUAAGAAGCAUCAGCAAAGGUUUCUUACUGGAAAAUAUACCUCUGCCAGUUCUCCCAAAGGUAACAUGCUUUACAGAACUGAAUUCAUGCCUAGAAAGAACUAUCAGACUCCAGGCAAGUGGAAAACACCAAACUCUAGCUCAAACCAACAAACACAAGUGGAACUUUCAGCAGUUGGCCACCAAUUCAUUCACUCAGCAUCAGAGCUAGAAGUUUUGCUUCCUGAGGAGACAGGCAGAAAAGAGCUCAGUAGUUAGAGGUACCUCAAACCGUUCAUCUUCACAGCGGUGCAACUGCUCCUCAUAAGGAGUCUUCUUGGAGCUGACAAAAGUGGAGUCUUCAGACCAGGAUGGAAAUGAAACCCAUGUAUCAUUUAACACCUGCAACAGUGCAAAGACAUGACAUUGACCAGAGCCUUAUGAGCCCAGAGCUGUUCUCAUGAGGUCUGAUACUUCUCUGGUUUCUUUUUGCACAGUUUCUAUCAGAUGUUUCAGACCUAGUUCGUAAGUCAUUGCAAUGACUGCUCCACAGAUGAUGAGAGGUCUCUGUGGAACUGUGCCAGGGCCCUGCUCAGAAAGCACCUUCGUGAUCAUCUCACAAACCACAAAGAUCACUCUGGAGUAAUCAGCAACUAUCGGUCACUCAGUGGAGAAGCAAAUGAAAGCUCUUUCACACCAAGGAAGGACUUGAACUGUGCAAAGAGUUCUGGGAAUUUCCUUCAAAAACACAGAGUAUUGCUAAAGACUGGCUACGUGACCGAGGACAUGGAGACAGCGACAUAUUGCAACUGAUUCAACUCUCAGAUGGAAAAAUACAAGGGAACAAAGUACGUGAAGCAUGAACCGAGGAUGAAGAAAACUGUGGGUAAAGAAGCAAAAGUAGCAGUGCAAGCAAGAUGAAAGGAAACUGGGAUGUGUUAAGACACAAUAGUGAACUGUUAGCAAGUUUUGGAGACCAGGUUCUCAUCCACUUAAUGUAACCAAUUGUACCUUAGUUGCUGUGUGCUACACUGUACAUGUAUUCACUGAUACAGCAAGCUAUUGAUUAUGUAUCCAAUCUUAAUGCAGCCAGUUAUUGUGUAUGUAUCAAAGUAUAAUACACUGAGCCAUUGUAAGCAGACACAGGCAUUCUUAGCCAAUUAAUGAUUGUUACUGUGCUACAGGCAGUAGGAAAAAGGUAUAUAAACACUGUAAACCCUGGCAAUAAACGAGACUUGUUGAUCAUUAUCAAA